rnacentral:rRNA from 1 species
GACGAACGCUGGCGGCGUGCUUAACACAUGCAAGUCGAACGGAAAGGCCCUGCUUGCAGGGUACUCGAGUGGCGAACGGGUGAGUAACACGUGGGUGAUCUGCCCUGCACUUCGGGAUAAGCCUGGGAAACUGGGUCUAAUACCGGAUAGGAGCCAUUUUUAGUGUGAUGGUUGGAAAGUUUUUUCGGUGUAGGAUGAGCUCGCGGCCUAUCAGCUUGUUGGUGGGGUAAUGGCCUACCAAGGCGGCGACGGGUAGCCGGCCUGGGGGGGGGGACGGCCAAGGUGGGGCUGAGAGCAGCCCCAGCUCCGCACGGGGGGGGGGAGGGGGGAAUUGUGACAAAGGGGCGCAGGCUGUAUGCAGCGACCCCGGGGGGGGAAGGGCGGCCUUGGGUUUUAAACUUCUUUACGAGAGGGCAAAAGCUUUUUGGGAGGUUCCUUAAAAGAGAGGCCCGCACUAGCUCCGUC